UACAGAGGCCCCGAGCGUUGUUCGGAUUCAUUGGGCGUAAAGGGUGCGUAGGCGGCGCGGUAAGUCGGGUGUGAAAUCUUGGAGCUUAACUCCGAAACUGCAUUCGAUACUGCCGUGCUUGAGGACUGGAGAGGAGACUGGAAUUUACGGUGUAGCGGUGAAAUGCGUAGAUAUCGUAAGGAAGACCAGUGGCGAAGGCGGGUCUCUGGACAGUUCCUGACGCUGAAGCACGAAGGCCAGGGGAGCAAACGGG
rnacentral:rRNA from 1 species